UUACUGGCAACGUUUCGUAUUUACCCGUCCACAAACGGUUUGAUCAUGUGAUUGAACACCAAUACGGGUGGGAAAUUCGGUGAUACUCUUCAUUCUGAGCUUCUGAAAUAGUGAAGUGAACCGACUAACUACUCCUGAGAGUUUCCCGAGCGUGAUAAGUGACACGCUGGGCAAUGCCAUCAGAAAAAUCAACAGAUUCCUUCUGUAUGGGAGGCAUUGCGAAUGAUUGGUCCGUUCAUUGGGAACGGGCUAUUGAGUGCAAUAUACGAACUUAAGAUCUUCUUAAGCACCCGAUACCGAUCAUCGUUGUUAGUAA
rnacentral:RNase_P_RNA from 2 species